CCAAAAUCUAUAAGAAGAUAAAAUAGGACAUUCCUUAAAGUUCUUUCCGUUGCUCCCACCUGCUAUACUGAUGGCAAAUAUAUAAAAGAAAAGUUCCUAUAGAAGUAGAAGUUCCUGAAAAAAGUAGCAGCUAAUCCAUUUUAGUCUUCUGCUUUCUGACCAGCUGGCUCAAGGAGGCCACUUAUGUGAUGCCUCCAAUGAAAGUGAA
rnacentral:lncRNA from 1 species